CAGCUGCAUGAAUGUGUUGUCUAUAUAAAAGUAAAUGGCCCCUAUCUCUGAAUAUUACAAAAAUCAACUUGAAAUAACAACUUAAGUAUAAGGUCUGAAACUACUAGAAGAAAACAGAAAAUACUUCAAGACAUUGGAAUGGACAAAGACUUUUUCAAUAAGACCCCAAAGGCACAGGAAUCUCUUCAUUGGAGGAAAUUGACUCAAAGCAUAGGAAAGAAGACCAAAGGUUAACACCACAUCCAGACAGUCUACGUCACAGUCCAUCACCAGUUGUUCAGAUACCUCGAUUAUCUCCCCUAAGUUGCCCACAUGCCCCUCCCCUCUCUCCACUGAAGUCAGCAUAUAAACUCUUACAUUUCACUGGAUUGUUGGGUACUCACUUUUUUUCCCUUGUGAUAUACCUGUGCAUAUAAUAAAUUUGGAAGCAUUUUCUCCUGUUGA